rnacentral:rRNA from 1 species
CGGUAAUUCCAGCUCCAAUAGCGUAUGUUAAAGUUGUUGCGUUUAAAAAGCUCGUAGUUUGAUAUCUGUCAGUCAAUUCUGAUCCUCUUUCAAGAGGUCGUCGGUUCAGCAUGGCACUAUCGAUGGCCGUUCCAUUGCGCUAAAUUGCGCGAUGUUUCUCUAUCGUCGCGUACUUCGAAGAAAUUAGUUUGUUUCAUAACGGCUGGAGCCAAAGAUAUUUAAGCAUGGUAUAACAUUUCGGAUCUUGAUUCUGUUUUGUUGGCUUGUGAAUCAAAGGUAAUGAUUGAUAGGGAUGGUUGGGGGUUUUCGUAUUUGACAGUCAGAGGUGAAAUUCUUGGAUUUGUCGAAGACGAGCUACUGCGAAAGCAUUUGCCAAAGAUGUUUUCAUUGAUCAAGAGCGAAAGUUGGGGGAUCGAAGACGAUCAGAUACCGUCCUAGUCUUGACCAUAAACUAUGCCAUCCAGGGAUAAAGGGACGUCACGUACGACUUCUUUGGCACCUUGCGAGAAAUCAGAGUCAUUGGGUUCCGGGGGGAGUAUGGUCGCAAGACUGAAACUUAAAGGAAUUGACGGAAGGGCACCACCAGGAGUGGAGCCUGCGGCUUAAUUUGACUCAACACGGGAAAACUCACCAGUUCCAGACAUAGUCAGGAUGGACAGACUGAUCGCUUUUUCUUAAUUUUAUGGGUGGUGGUGCAUGGCCGUUCUUAGUUGGUGGAGCAAUCUGUCUGGUUAAUUCCGUUAACGAACGAGACCUUAACCUACUAAAUAGCUGGGCGUACACAUCUUUACGUUGAUAGCUUCUUAGGGGAACUUUGUCCGCGCAGGGUUGAGAAGAUUGAGGCAAUAACGGGUCUGUGAUGCCCUUAGAUGUACAGGGCUGCACGCGCGCUACACUGGUACACUCAAUGGGCUACCUUCCGAGCUUGUCUAAGCAAGGCGAUCCUGUAAAAGGUACCGUGAUGGGGAUUGAUUUUUGAAAUUAUUAAUCGUUAACGAGGAAUUCCUAGUAAGUACGAGUCAUUACCUCGCACUGAUUGCGUCCCUGCCCUUUGUACACACCGCCCGUCGCUCCUACCGAUUGAAUGGUCCGGUGAAUAAACUGGAUGCUUGCAAUGCUCUAGUUCUGAGCUGUGCUGGCUGAAAGCUUGUAAACCUUAUCACUUAGAGGAAGGAGAAGUCGUAACAAGG